AAGAACGCUGGCGGCAUGCCUAACACAUGCAAGUCGAACGAGACCUUCGGGUCUAGUGGCGCACGGGUGCGUAACGCGUGGGAAUCUGCCCUUCGGUUCGGAACAACAGUUAGAAAUGACUGCUAAUACCGGAUAAUGACGUAAGUCCAAAGAUUUAUCGCCGAAGGAUGAGCCCGCGUAAGAUUAGGUAGUUGGUGGGGUAAUGGCCUACCAAGCCGACGAUCUUUUAGCUGGUCUGAGAGGAUGAUCAGCCACACUGGGACUGAGACACGGCCCAGACUCCUACGGGAGGCAGCAGUGGGGAAUAUUGGACAAUGGGCGAAAGCCUGAUCCAGCAAUGCCGCGUGAGUGAUGAAGGCCUUAGGGUUGUAAAGCUCUUUUACCAGGGAUGAUAAUGACAGUACCUGGAGAAUAAGCUCCGGCUAACUCCGUG
rnacentral:rRNA from 1 species